AGGAGACAGUAAUCUUCCCUAGGUUUGCAUUUGUUUACUCUAUUUUUCCCCAGGACUGUCUUCUAUAGAAUUUAAAAGAAUUCUCUGUUAGGCAACAUCAUGCCAUUUGGAGCUAUUACAGUCUCUGACUGCUACCUUUGUCUUGCAGGGUGAAAGUUAAGAGCAUUUCUAAGUUUGAUUUACUGAUUCUGUGUAUCUUAUGGGAUGCAUUGUGUUCAGUCACUGGGGAAAAUGUUAAAGUGAUAACAAUUAUUAUGAAAGUAUUGUAUUCUAGGCAAAUAGCAUGCCGCUUCUGUAAUUCACUGUGACUUUUGAUUCCUGUUGUUACCUGGUAUCUGUUAUUUCUCCUGAGCUUCCUAUUCAGGGAAUGCAUGCAAACCAUUUAGCACCAUGCAGAGCCGGAGAGAUGGAAUGCUGUAUCUCCUUCGAAUAGCUAUUAAGAAAACUGCAGAGUAUUCAAGAAAGGAUAGAUAGCAGAUAGA
rnacentral:lncRNA from 1 species